UACUAAGCGGAGGAAAAGAAACUAACUAGGAUUUCCUCAGUAGCGGCGAGCGAACAGGAAAGAGCCCAGCACCGAAUCCCGCGGUUCCGCCGCUGGGAAAUGUGGUGUUCGGGAGGGUCCGCCUAUCCCGCGGCGUCGCGUUGCGUCCAAGUCCAUCUUGAAUGGGGCCACUUACCCGCAGAGGGUGCCAGGCCCGUAGCGACCGACGCGCGCCUCGGGAGGACCUCUCCUUAGAGUCGGGUUGCUUGAGAGUGCAGCUCUAAGUGGGUGGUAAACUCCAUCUAAGGCUAAAUAUGACCACGAGACCGAUAGCGAACAAGUACCGUGAGGGAAAGUUGAAAAGAACUUUGAAGAGAGAGUUCAAGAGUACGUGAAACCGUUCAGGGGUAAACCUGAGAAACCCAAAAGAUCGAACGGGGAGAUUCAUCGUCAGCGGCGCAGGCUUCGCGUCGGUCGGCGAUGCCCCGCGCUGUGCCGUGCUUCUCGCGCGGCCGCCAGCGCGGGCACGCUGCCGUGCGUCGAUGUCCGGCGUCCGUCGUCGUGCACUUCUCCCCUAGUAGGACGUCGCGACCCGCUGGGUGUCGGUCUACGGCCCGGGUGCGCUGUCUGUCGCGUCGCCGGUAAAACGGCACGCGGCAAGCCCCCGGUCGCCCGGCCGGCUGCCCGGCGGUACGCUGAGACGGUAUCGGGCCGCGCCUUGGGCGCGUCGAGCCCGCCGCAAGCGAGCGCCAGCAGACCCGGUGGUACGGACCUAGCGCCGUCCCCGGUCCUGGCCCGCUGUUAGCUGCGCGGUGUGACUUCGACAGGCCUCCUCUCGCGGCGACGCGAGAGGCUAACUUACCGGUCGGCGACGCUACUGCUUUGGGUACUCUCAGGACCCGUCUUGAAACACGGACCAAGGAGUCUAACAUGUACGCGAGUCAUUGGGACCUUGCGAUACCUAAAGGCGUAAUGAAAGUGAAGGUUCGACCCCGGCCCUCCGGCCCCCCGUGGGCCACGGGCCGCGGCGCCGACCGAGGGAGGAUGGGCCGCGUUGCGAUGCGGCUCCGCACUCCCGGGGCGUCUCGCUCUCAUUGCGAGGAGAGGCGCACCCAGAGCGUACACGUUGGGACCCGAAAGAUGGUGAACUAUGCCUGGUCAGGACGAAGUCAGGGGAAACCCUGAUGGAGGUCCGUAGCGAUUCUGACGUGCAAAUCGAUCGUCGGAACUGGGUAUAGGGGCGAAAGACUAAUCGAACCAUCUAGUAGCUGGUUCCCUCCGAAGUUUCCUUCAGGAUAGCUGGCACUCGGCCGUUCCUCACGGAACGCUUGCGAGUCUCAUCUGGUAAAGCGAAUGAUUAGAGGCCUUGGGGCCGAAACGACCUCAACCUAUUCUCAAACUUUAAAUGGGUGAGAUCUCUGGCUUUCUUGAACUAUGAAGCCACGAGCAUCACGGAUCAGAGUGCCAAGUGGGCCAUUUUUGGUAAGCAGAACUGGCGCUGUGGGAUGAACCAAACGCAGAGUUAAGGCGCCCAACUCGACGCUCAUGGGACACCAUGAAAGGCGUUGGUUGCUUAAGACAGCAGGACGGUGGCCAUGGAAGUCGGAAUCCGCUAAGGAGUGUGUAACAACUCACCUGCCGAAGCAACUAGCCCUGAAAAUGGAUGGCGCUGAAGCGUCGAGCCUAUACUCUGCCGUCAGCGGCAAGUGGGGCGGCCGCCCGGCGCCGCGCUCGCGCGGCGACGGCGGUCGUCACGAGGCCCUGACGAGUAGGAGGGUCGCGGCGGUGUGCGCAGAAGGGUCUGGGCGUGAGCCUGCCUGGAGCCGCCGUCGGUGCAGAUCUUGGUGGUAGUAGCAAAUACUCCAGCGAGGCCCUGGAGGACUGACGUGGAGAAGGGU
rnacentral:rRNA from 1 species